CCCUUAGAUGUUCUGGGCCGCACGCGUGCUACACUGAGUGGAUCAGCGGGUCAGGUUGCGCGAAAGCGUUUCCUAAUCUUGAAAUCAGCUCGUGAUGGGGAUUGACGGUUGCAAUUUUCUGUCAUGAACGAGGAAUACCUUGUAAGCGCGAGUCAUCAUCCCGCGCUGAAUACGUCCCUGCCCUUUGUACACACCGCCCGUCGCUCCUACCGAUUGAGUGGUCCGGUGAGGCUUUGGGAUCUGAGCGGAAAGAGCGUUUCGCUCGUUCUGCCCGGAAAACUCAGUCGAACCUUAUCAUUUAGAGGAAGGAGAAGUCGUAACA
rnacentral:rRNA from 1 species